UAGCAUAUCAAUAAGCGGAGGAAAAGAAACCAACAGGGAUUACCUCAGUAACGGCGAGUGAAGCGGUAACAGCUCAAAUUUGAAAUCUGGCUCUUUCAGGGUCCGAGUUGUAAUUUGUAGAAGAUGCUUUGGGUGAGGCUCUAGUCUAAGUUCCUUGGAACAGGACGUCAUAGAGGGUGAGAAUCCCGUAUGUGAUUAGGCGCCUUCGCCCGUGUAAAGCUCUUUCGACGAGUCGAGUUGUUUGGGAAUGCAGCUCAAAAUGGGUGGUAAAUUUCAUCUAAAGCUAAAUAUUGGCCAGAGACCGAUAGCGCACAAGUAGAGUGAUCGAAAGAUGAAAAGCACUUUGGAAAGAGAGUUAAACAGUACGUGAAAUUGUUGAAAGGGAAGCGCUUGCAACCAGACUCGCAUGCCGUCGAUCAUCCUGUGUUCUCACUGGUGCACUCGGCGGCCUUCGGGCCAGCAUUGGUUUGGGUGGUGGGAUAAAGGCCUUGGGAAUGUAGCUCCUCUCGGGGAGUGUUAUAGCCCUCGGUGCAAUGCCGCCUACCUGGACCGAGGACCGCGCUUCGGCUAGGAUGCUGGCGUAAUGGUUGUAAGCGACCCGUCUUGAAACACGGACCAAGGAGUCUAACAUCUAUGCGAGUAUUUGGGUGUCAAACCCAUAUGCGUAAUGAAAGUGAACGGAGGUGAGAACCCUCAAGGGUGCAUCAUCGACCGAUCCUGAUGUCUUCGGAUGGAUUUGAGUAAGAGCAUAGCUGUUGGGACCCGAAAGAUGGUGAACUAUGCCUAAAUAGGGUGAAGCCAGAGGAAACUCUGGUGGAGGCUCGCAGCGGUUCUGACGUGCAAAUCGAUCGUCAAAUUUGGGUAUAGGGGCGAAAGACUAAUCGAACCAUCUAGUAGCUGGUUCCU
rnacentral:rRNA from 1 species